AUUGAACGCUGGCGGCAGGCCUAACACAUGCAAGUCGAGCGGAUGACGGGAGCUUGCUCCUUGAUUCAGCGGCGGACGGGUGAGUAAUGCCUAGGAAUCUGCCUGGUAGUGGGGGACAACGUUUUGAAAGGAACGCUAAUACCGCAUACGUCCUACGGGAGAAAGCAGGGGACCUUCGGGCCUUGCGCUAUCAGAUGAGCCUAGGUCGGAUUAGCUUGUUGGUGAGGUAAUGGCUCACCAAGGCGACGAUCCGUGACUGGUCUGAGAGGAUGAUCAGUCACACUGGAACUGAGACACGGUCCAGACUCCUACGGGAGGCAGCAGUGGGGAAUAUUGGACAAUGGGCGAAAGCCUGAUCCAGCCAUGCCGCGUGUGUGAAGAAGGUCUUCGGAUUGUAAAGCACUUUAAGUUGGGAGGAAGAGUUGUAGAUUAAUACUCUGCAAUUUUGGCGUUACCGACAGAAUAAGCACCGGCUAACUCUGUGCCAGCAGCCGCCGUAAUAC
rnacentral:rRNA from 1 species